AGCACCGGCAACAUGGAGGGCGCUUUCCGACCGCGUCGUGCCAUUCAAAAGUGGUGAAGCCGUGACCCACAACAGUGUCCACAUAACCCGUGGCAAUGGCUGCAGCAGCACGGCGUGUAAUCUGGAUGGACAUGUCAGGGUACACGUGCACUUACUUCAAGAUGACGACACUCCACCUCAAGAACAGCCUCUCCUCAAUGAUAAGUAGCGAGAUUAAAUGAAAGGAAGAUAUCACAUCCGUAACCAGACUGAUACUGUGUUUUCCUUUCAUUUAACCUCCUUCUGCAUUUAAGGAAGCAUUGAUAUGCCCAAUAAAUGUUUUUGUUAAAUUUC
rnacentral:lncRNA from 1 species